rnacentral:rRNA from 1 species
UACAGAGGUGGCAAGCGUUGUUCGGAAUUACUGGGCGUAAAGGGCGCGUAGGCGGUCUUGUAAGUCUUGUGUGAAAUCCCUCGGCUUAACUGAGGAACUGCACGGGAUACUGCGAGACUUGAGUUCGGGAGAGGGAAGCGGAAUUCCGGGUGUAGCGGUGAAAUGCGUAGAUAUCCGGAGGAACGCCGGUGGCGAAGGCGGCUUCCUGGACCGAUUACUGACGCUGAGGCGCGAAAGCUAGGGGAGCAAACGGG